CUUACCAACUCUUGACAUCCCCCUGACCGGUACAGAGAUGUGCCUUCCCCUUCGGGGGCAGGGGUGACAGGUGGUGCAUGGUUGUCGUCAGCUCGUGUCGUGAGAUGUUGGGUUAAGUCCCGCAACGAGCGCAACCCUUGUCCUUAGUUGCCAGCAUUUGGUUGGGCACUCUAAGGAGACUGCCGGUGACAAACCGGAGGAAGGUGGGGAUGACGUCAAAUCAUCAUGCCCCUUAUGAGUUGGGCUACACACGUGCUACAAUGGACGGUACAAAGGGCAGCGAAGCCGCGAGGUGGAGCCAAUCCCAGAAAGCCGUUCUCAGUUCGGAUUGCAGGCUGCAACUCGCCUGCAUGAAGUCGGAAUCGCUAGUAAUCGCAGGUCAGCAUACUGCGGUGAAUACGUUCCCGGGUCUUGUACACACCGCCCGUCACACCACGAGAGUUUGCAACACCCGAAGUCGGUGAGUAAC
rnacentral:rRNA from 1 species